rnacentral:rRNA from 1 species
AGAGUUUGAUCAUGGCUCAGGAUGAACGCUGGCGGCGUGCCUAACACAUGCAAGUCGAACGGAGUUUAAUAUUGGAAGUUUUCGGAUGGAAGAUAUUAAACUUAGUGGCGGACGGGUGAGUAACGCGUGGGUAACCUGCCUCAUAGAGGGGGAUAACAGUUUGAAAAGACUGCUAAUACCGCAUAAGCAUACGGUGCUGCAUGGCACAGUGUGAAAAGAUUUAUCGCUAUGAGAUGGACCCGCGUCUGAUUAGCUAGUUGGUGGGGUAAAGGCCUACCAAGGCGACGAUCAGUAGCCGACCUGAGAGGGUGAACGGCCACAUUGGGACUGAGACACGGCCCAAACUCCUACGGGAGGCAGCAGUGGGGAAUAUUGCACAAUGGGGGGAACCCUGAUGCAGCGACGCCGCGUGAGUGAAGAAGUAUUUCGGUAUGUAAAGCUCUAUCAGCAGGGAAGAAAAUGACAGUACCUGACUAAGAAGCCCCGGCUAACUACGUGCCAGCAGCCGCGGUAAUACGUAGGGGGCAAGCGUUAUCCGGAUUUACUGGGUGUAAAGGGAGCGUAGACGGAAUGGCAAGUCUGAAGUGAAAACCCGAGGCUCAACCACGGGACUGCUUUGGAAACUGUCAAUCUUGAGUGUUGGAGAGGUAAGUGGAAUUCCUAGUGUAGCGGUGAAAUGCGUAGAUAUUAGGAGGAACACCAGAGGCGAAGGCGGCUUACUGGACAAUAACUGACGUUGAGGCUCGAAAGCGUGGGGAGCAAACAGGAUUAGAUACCCUGGUAGU